rnacentral:rRNA from 1 species
CUGGCUCAGGAUGAACGCUGGCGGCGUGCCUAACACAUGCAAGUCGAGCGAGGAGAUAAGAGCUUGCUCUUUGAUUCUAGCGGCGGACGGGUGAGUAACGCGUGGGUAACCUGCCCUAUACACAUGGAUAACAUACCGAA